GCUGUAUUUCCAGCUCAGCUCUCCUAGUUUCUGCUUCAGUAAAUAUCUCCUGAAUGAAAUAUUUGAAGUGACAGCGGGUAACAGCCAGACGGAGAAAGAAUGGGCUGUUUUAUGGGGAACUUAAAUUUGUGCUCUAACCUACCUCAACCCAGCACAAUCCUGAACCGUGAAAACACUGGCUCCAAAUCAGAAAUGGGAACUGCUCUACCACUGGAGGACUCCAUAUGGUGACAUCAAAACCCUCAUCCUAGAAAAACACAGGAAGAAGAUGCACAUCUGGCCUUGAAACUUUACUGUCCUGCAUAAAGGAGGUUGGAGCUGGUCCAUUAUCACUGUGUUGCUGCAG